CCUCAUCAAAUUCAAAGCAUUGGUUACCAAGAAAAACGAUUUGUCCUUUCCUAUGUUCUUACAUCGGAGGCCCCGAGCUAAAGCUUCCUCUU
rnacentral:lncRNA from 1 species